CCCCUGCCACAACAGUUCACCAAGGUCAACCAUAGUCGAUUGAUUCUUUUUUCGCCCCCACGACCUACCCAGUAUCCAAUUUUGGAUACUUUUGGGGCUCCUGCAAUCCACAUGCCUCGAGUCCUUGACCUAAAAACACCCUCUUUCCAAUUCUUCAGCACAUUGGUAGAUCAAAAUCAAAUGGAAGGCAAACCCACCAGUUGUAAUGGGAGGUUAUAAAGACUAAAAUAGUCCAAAUUACCCAAGCAAUCUCUGCUCCGCCCCCAAUCACCCAUCACAACCAGACUCAUCUCCAACUUUAGCUAGAGCUUUGAUGUUAUAAUUAUCGGUUCUUAAUCUUACCAGAAGGG
rnacentral:misc_RNA from 1 species